CUCAGCUUGGUUUUGAUUUUUGUGCCUAGAUUAGACCCUCCACUUUUGUAAUGUGGGAUUCUAGCUUUGUGUGAGACAGAUGAGCAAAAAUGUCUGUUGAACUAUUGAAGAGAACCAAACUGCAUGUACCAGCAAAAGGACUGUGUGGAACAAGUACUACAAGGAAAAGUUUUUCCUACACCAGCAGAAGAAAUUGACAUCUUACACCACAAGCAUGGCAUCACUACCCGUAAAUAUCAUCACAAGCAAAAAACCAGAUGUAAAAUCCUUCACAGAAAGAGAGAUGAAGACUACAUUUCACACCCUCAAAAGUUUGUGCCCGACAGGUGGUGUAAAUUUUAAAACUGAAAGUGACACUGACACCACCUCUGAGGAUAAAGAUGAGUUCCCUCCUGUUCUAUAUAAGCUGUACGAAAAGUCACCACAAGUGAAUAUCAAAGAAGCCAUACAAGAUA